rnacentral:rRNA from 1 species
UACGGGGGGAGCAAGCGUUGUUCGGAUUUACUGGGCGUAAAGGGCGCGUAGGCGGUCAGCACAAGUCAGUUGUGAAAUCUCCGGGCUUAACCCGGAAAGGUCAACUGAUACUGUGCGACUAGAGUGCGGAAGGGGCAACUGGAAUUCUUGGUGUAGCGGUGAAAUGCGUAGAUAUCAGGAGGAACACCGGUGGCGAAGGCGGCUCUCUGGGACGGUACUGACGCUGAGACGCGAAAGCGUGGGGAGCGAACAGG